rnacentral:rRNA from 1 species
AUUGAACGCUGGCGGCAGGCCUAACACAUGCAAGUCGAGCGAGCGGCGGACGGGUGAGUAAUGUCUGGGAAACUGCCUGAUGGAGGGGGAUAACUACUGGAAACGGUAGCUAAUACCACAUACCAUCAGAUGUGCCCAGAUGGGCUUAGCUAGUAGGUGGGGUAACGGCUCACCUAGGCGACGAUCCCUAGCUGGUCUGAGAGGAUGACCAGCCACGCUGGAACUGAUACACGGUCCAGAGUCCUACGGGAGGCAGCGGUGGGGAAUAUUGCACAGUGGGCGCAAGCCGGAUGCAGCCCUGCCGCGUGUGUGAGGAAGGCCUUCGGGUUGUGAAGCACUUUCAUCGGGGAGGCGUUACCCGCAGGAGAAGCACCGGCUAACUCCGUGCCAGCAGCCGCGGUAAUUC